CUCUCCUUGGUAACAUUUCUCCUUCAGGAACGCUUUGCAAGUUCUGGAAAAUCAGGCCAAAUAUAUCCAAACCUUCCACAAGAGGUGCUCAGAAUACCAGCUUGGCGACCAUCUAGUAACUGAAUUGAGUCUGUGAUUUCCGUUUCCUGAGGAGAAGUUUGAAAACCUCUUCUGACUUUUGGCGUGCUUAUACUCCAUAUCCAAGGGUCUGCUGGGAGGUGGGAGCUGGAGAAGAAGGAAAAUCCCCGGGAUUGUGGGAAGAUGCUCAUCAGAACUCAUCACAGCUAAAGGAAAGGACAACUGUUGGUACUGACCCUGACCAAGCCCUCCUUAAAGCAGCUUUUCUGCCUGUUCUAAAAGAUCUCUGCUCCGRAUUUAUGUAGAUAAGGUCUAGAGAACUUGGUGAUGACCUACAUCAACACUAUCAGUGGGGAUUUGCCCUUCAUUGAGAACACAGUCCUGGCCCUGCCCAGACAGAGAAUGCAGCUGCAAUAAAAAAGUUUCUUGCCCACUAUGACAGGCUGAUGGGCCAGAAGGUGCAGCUGCCCACAGAUACCCUCCAGGAGCUGCUGGACCUGCACAGGGCCARUGAGAGAGAGGCCAUAGAAAUCUUCAMAAAGAACUGUUUCAAGGAUGAGGACCARAGUUUCCAGAAGCAAUUAUAGACCCUAUUAGAUGCAAAGCAGAAAGACAUUUGUAWGCAAAUGAAGAAGCCUCUUCAGAUCAUUGCUCAGCUUUCUUCAGGAUAUUUUUGGUCCUCUGGAAGAAGUGGUGAAACAGGGGCUUUAUUCUAAACCAGGAGGCCAUAACCUCUACCUUCAGAAGACAGAGAAGCUGAAGACAAAGUACCACAAGCAAUUCAGGAAAGGAAUACAGGCUGAGGAAGCUCUGCAAAAGUAUUUAAAGUCCAAAGAGUCUGUGAGUAAAGCUGUUCUACAGACAGACCAGGCUCUCACAGCCAAGGAAAAGGAGAUGGAAGAGGCACGUGCAAAAGCAGAGGCUGCCAAGGCUGAAGCAGAAAGUGUGGAGGAGAUUCGUAGGCAUAUGCGGCAAAUGAUGGAAGAGAAGGAGAGACUCCAUCAGCAGCAACUAAGACAAAUAGAGAUAGAAAGAGCAAAGUGUCUGGCACAGCAACAGUUGGAGCAGGAACGUCGUC